AGGUAGAAUUAGACGCCAGUGAAAAGAAACGGCCAAGAGGACGACCAAAAGGCAGUAAAAACAAAAACCCACCCAAAGUGAAAAUCAUUGUUCCUAAACCAAAGAGGCCGCCGGGACGACCAAGGAAAGUGAAACCUGAGGAGAAAGAGGCCGUUCACCCAGAACAUUCAAAAGACCCCUCCGAUGAUAACACAGGCCACUGAUAUUUGUAAAUGUUAUUGCUUCGAAAUUAUGGAGAAGCAGUAUUUGUUUAGUGUGUU